GCGAGAGGGGCAGCAGACAGUGGAAGGUCAGCAGAGCGAGAGGGGCAGCAGACAGUGGAAGGUCAGCAGAGCGAGAGGGGCAGCAGACAGUGGAAGGUCAGCAGAGCGAGAGGGGCAGCAGACAGUGGAAGGUCAGCAGAGCGAGAGGGGCAGCAGACAGUGGAAGGUCAGCAGAGCGAGAGGGGCAGCAGACAGUGGAAGGUCAGCAGAGCGAGAGGGGCAGCAGACAGUGGAAGGUCAGCAGAGCGAGAGGGGCAGCAGACAGUGGAAGGUCAGCAGAGCGAGAGGGGCAGCAGACAGUGGAAGGUCAGCAGAGCGAGAGGGGCAGCAGACAGUGGAAGGUCAGCAGAGCGAGAGGGGCAGCAGACAGUGGAAGGUCAGCAGAGCGAGAGGGGCAGCAGACAGUGGAAGGUCAGCAGAGCGAGAGGGGCAGCAGACAGUGGAAGGUCAGCAGAGCGAGAGGGGCAGCAGACAGUGGAAGGUCAGCAGAGCGAGAGGGGCAGCAGACAGUGGAAGGUCAGCAGAGCGAGAGGGGCAGCAGACAGUGGAAGGUCAGCAGAGCGAGAGGGGCAGCAGACAGUGGAAGGUCAGCAGAGCGAGAGGGGCAGCAGACAGUGGAAGGUCAGCAGAGUGAGAGGGGCAG